UUUCUGGAUUGACCGUGCUUAUACAGGCUACUAAAUAAAGCACUCUUCUUACAGAAAUCUCAAGUCCUGUGUAAGAACCAGGACCAAGCCCUCCUCCCUGGAAUUAACAGACAACAGACAAAGUAAGCCUCGGUGCAGAAAAACCCCGCACUGAGGGCUCCUGAAGACUUUUUGUUACUGAAGAAUUCUGCUUACAAGAAACUACUUGCUGGUUAUUUUUAGGAACAAAGAGCAUUGUUCAAUUCAAUAAAGCCAUUCCAUCAAACUGGC